AACGAACGCUGGCGGCAGGCUUAACACAUGCAAGUCGAACGCAUCCUUCGGGGUGAGUGGCAGACGGGUGAGUAACGCGUGGGAACGUGCCCUUCAGUUCGGAAUAACCCAGGGAAACUUGGGCUAAUACCGGAUACGUGCGAGAGCAGAAAGAUUUAUCGCUGAAGGAUCGGCCCGCGUCUGAUUAGCUAGUUGGUGGGGUAAUGGCCCACCAAGGCGACGAUCAGUAGCUGGUCUGAGAGGAUGAUCAGCCACAUUGGGACUGAGACCCGGCCCAAACUCCUACGGGAGGCAGCAGUGGGGAAUAUUGGAAAAUGGGCGCAAGCCUGAUCCAGCCAUGCCGCGUGAGUGAUGACGGCCUUAGGGUUGUAAAGCUCUUUCGUCCGGGACGAUAAUGACGGUACCGGAAGAAGAAGCCCCGGCUAACUUCGUGCCAGCAGCCGCCGUAA
rnacentral:rRNA from 1 species